UACGUAGGGACCAAGCGUUGUUCGGAUUUACUGGGCGUAAAGGGCGCGUAGGCGGCAUGACAAGUCACUUGUGAAAUCUCUGGGCUUAACUCAGAACGGCCAAGUGAUACUGUCGCGCUAGAGUGCAGAAAGGGCAAUCGGAAUUCUUGGUGUAGCGGUGAAAUGCGUAGAUAUCAAGAGGAACACCUGAGGCGAAGGCGGCUUACUGGUCCGGUUCUGACGCUGAGGCGCGAAAGCGUGGGGAGCAAACAGG
rnacentral:rRNA from 1 species